UACCAGCACCCCGAGUGGUCGGGACGAUUAUUGGGCCUAAAGCAUCCGUAGCCGGUCCUACAAGUCUUCCGUUAAAUCCAGCUGCUCAACAGAUGGGCUGCGGAAGAUACUAUAGGGCUAGGAGGCGGGAGAGGCAAGCGGUACUCAGUGGGUAGGGGUAAAAUCCUCUGAUCCAUUGAAGACCACCAGUGGCGAAGGCGGCUUGCCAGAACGCGCUCAACGGUGAGGGAUGAAAGCUGGGGGAGCAAACCGG
rnacentral:rRNA from 1 species